rnacentral:lncRNA from 1 species
AACUAAUAUAAAAAUGAAAACAAAUAAAGAUAAAUAAGUAAAAUAAAAUAAAAAUAAAAUAAAAAAAUAAAAUAAAAAAAUAAAAUAAAAAAAUAAAAUAAAAAAAAAAAAUAAAAAUUAGAUAAUAUAACAAAAACAAAACGAUAAAAGAAACAAGAUAAAAAUAAUAUUUUUGUCAUCCGGACGAAAUUGGGUAUUGAUAGUUGCCCCUCUU